rnacentral:rRNA from 1 species
CGCGGCUAGACGGAAAGACCCCGUUAACCUUUACUAUAGCUUCACAGUGGACUUUGAACCUGCUUGUGUAGGAUAGCUGGGAGACUUUGAAGCGGUGACGCUAGUCAUCGUGGAGUCGUCCUUGAAAUACCAGCCUGGCAUGUUUGAGGUUCUAACCUAGGUCCAUUAUCUGGAUCGGGGACAUUGUGUGGUGGGUAGUUUGACUGGGACGGUCUCCUCCCAAAUAGUAACGG